UACAGAGGUGGCAAGCGUUGUUCGGAAUUACUGGGCGUAAAGGGCGCGUAGGCGGCCUUCUAAGUCAGACGUGAAAUCCCCCGGCUUAACCUGGGAACUGCGUCUGAUACUGGGAGGCUAGAGUGCGGGAGAGGGAUGCGGAAUUCCAGGUGUAGCGGUGAAAUGCGUAGAUAUCUGGAGGAACACCGGUGGCGAAGGCGGCAUCCUGGACCGACACUGACGCUGAGGCGCGAAAGCGUGGGGAGCGAACAGG
rnacentral:rRNA from 1 species